GACGAACGCUGGCGGCGUGCUUAACACAUGCAAGUCGAGCGGAGCGGCGAACGGGCGAGUAACGCGUGAGUAACUGCCCCCCUCCCUGGGAUAACAGUUGGAAACGGCUGCUAAUACCGGAUAGUGGGGGAUGACUCGCGGCCUAUCAGCUUGUUGGUGGGGUAGUGGCCUACCAAGGCGACGACGGGUAGCCGGCCUGGGAGGGCGACCGGCCACAAUGGGCUGAGAGACGGCCCAAACGCCUACGGGGGGCAGCAGUGGAGAAUAGUGCACAAGGGGGGAAACCCUGAUGCAGCAACGCCGGGUGCGGGAUGACGUCCUUCGGGUUGUAAACCGCUUUCAGCCAUGACGCGGUAGUGGCAGAAGAAGCACCGGCUAACUACGUGCCAGCCGCCGCGGUAAUUC
rnacentral:rRNA from 1 species